rnacentral:rRNA from 1 species
UAGCGGAGGAAAAGAAACCAACUGGGAUUACCUUAGUAACGGCGAGUGAAGCGGUAAAAGCUCAAAUUUGAAAUCUGGUACUUUCAGUGCCCGAGUUGUAAUUUGUAGAAUUUGUCUUUGAUUAGGUCCUUGUCUAUGUUCCUUGGAACAGGACGUCAUAGAGGGUGAGAAUCCCGUUUGGCGAGGAUACCUUUUCUCUGUAAGACUUUUUCGAAGAGUCGAGUUGUUUGGGAAUGCAGCUCAAAGUGGGUGGUAAAUUCCAUCUAAAGCUAAAUAUUGGCGAGAGACCGAUAGCGAACAAGUACAGUGAUGGAAAGAUGAAAAGAACUUUGAAAAGAGAGUGAAAAAGUACGUGAAAUUGUUGAAAGGGAAGGGCAUUUGAUCAGACAUGGUGUUUUUUGCAUGCACUCGCCUCUCGUGGGCUUGGGCCUCUCAAAAAUUUCACUGGGCCAACAUCAAUUCUGGCAGUAGGAUAAAUCAUUAAGAAUGUAGCUACCUCGGUAGUGUUAUAGCUUAUUGGAAUACUGCUAGCUGGGAUUGAGGACUGCGCUUCGGCAAGGAUGUUGGCAUAAUGGUUAAAUGCCGCCCGUCUUGAC